AUUUCUGAGACUCAUGAUGAUGUCACAGAGCUUUAGAACCCUAGUAUACCCUAGACCACCCAAACGUCCCACAACCUAUUGAAUCUCACAACAUAUGUUUGGAUAGCACUUCCCAGCCUACAACGCACUUUCUCAGGGAUUCUCAAACUUCCUCCCACCUCACAUCCUUUUAAGGCAAGUGAGUGUGGGAACUCUGGUUCAGGGAAGUUAAAUCACUUGCCUAAGGUCAUGCAGAUCAUUAAUGCCAUAGCCAAGACCUGAGCACGUUCUCCUAAAGCCAGGUCAGGCCUCUUGUCACAUACUCCAUUGACUCUAGUGCCUAACCCAUGCUCAUCACAGAGCUCACAUUGGAACCAUUGUUAAACAGACUCUAAUGGAAAUGACUUCGUUCAGCUGGUGAACAUUUUGGAAGAUUCCAGAAAAACAUGAACAAGUGUUUGAGUGCUCUUAAGGGGAUUGUCUAAUAUCUUGGCUCCUGACUCAUCCUUAGAAGUCUUCCAGCCACCUUGUACCCAUUUCAAGCCCAAGGGCUCUUUAACGUAAAUGAGUUACUGAGCAGAAAAGAACAGAGAAAGAUCCAGUGCAAAAACUCAUAGGAAAUGAUCAAUUCAUGCCAAGUGAUGAGAACUAGAGAAGAGAGAUGAGAGCAUUGUUCAUACACGAUGGUCUAGGUCUCCUACCCCAAGAGAACUUGCAACAAAGCCCAAAGUACAACAGCCACGUUUAAAGAGAAGAUUCCAUUUCAGCCAGACAACAUGAUUCAUCAUAUUUAUUUAAUAUUGUUAAUUUGAAUUUUAUUAGAUCUGUACUGAUGUUUGUAUUUAAUUUCUAAUUUGUUUUGGUUUCAUAAUUCACUAAAACAAUAAGCACAAAGAGUUUCUAUCUGACUUUAUAUAUUAACAUUUUAAUAAAAGUCUUUUAUAUACUCAUUGGGAUCCAUGGUAAUUA
rnacentral:lncRNA from 1 species